ACAAACAAAAAAAAAAAACGCUUUCAUAAAUAUAUCUCUGAAUUAAGAUCUACAGAGCUGAGUUUCUUAUUUGAAAUGUGGACCAGUUAAGAAUACAAUAAUUUAUACAAGUUAACAAUGAUACUUUAAUUAAACAACAAAAAUCCUUCACAGGAGAAAAAAAAGUGCUUUUUUUUUUAGCAAUUACCAGUUUGAAAAAUAUAAUGGUGUGUUUCUUUCCACAUAUUUAUAUAUGUGUGAUAGGCAGUUCAGAAAAAUGUUCAGCUUGGAAUACAGUUAACUCUUGAUCCAACACUUUUUAAUCUG